rnacentral:rRNA from 1 species
AACGAAUGCUGGCGGCAUGCCUAACACAUGCAAGUCGAACGAGCUCUUCGGGUUUAGUGGCGCACGGGUGAGUAACGCGUGGGAACGUGCCCUUAGGUUCGGAAUAACUCCGCGAAACGGGUGCUAAUACCGGAUAUUGUCUUCGGACGAAAGAUUUAUCGCCAUUGGAUGGGCCCGCGUUGGAUUAGCUAGUUGGUAGGGUAACGGCUUACCAAGGCGACGAUCCGUAGCUGGUCUGAGAGGAUGACCAGCCACACUGGGACUGAGACACGGCCCAGACUCCUACGGGAGGCAGCAGUGGGGAAUAUUGCGCAAUGGGCGAAAGCCUGACGCAGCAAUGCCGCGUGAAUGAUGAAGGCCUUAGGAUUGUAAAGCUCUUUUACCGGGGAUGAUAAUGACGGUACCCGGAGAAGAAGCUCCGGCUAACUCCGUG